GUCUUAUAUAUAGCAACAUGAGGGGUGCCACCAUGUGGAGUAGGAUCUGCUCAACCUUCCAGAGCACCUGAGAUCACCCCAGAUUUUGGAGGGGUUCAUGUUCAUAGCUAAGUUUUGGGUUUUAUGUACUAUUGUUUGUUUUUCUUUUUUUAGCCAUUGCAUUUUCAGUUUAUUUUGGACUUUUUUUCUUAGUUUAAAUGCAUUUGAUAUCUUUUGCCUAUCUCUCAUAGGUUAUAUAGUUAUGUGCACUUAUAUCUGUUGCUGUAUUGUUUAUAUCAGCAGGCUUGCACCUUUGGCCAUACCUUUAAUUGUUAUGUUUUGUAUUCUUGUAACCGCAUGGCAAUAUUUAACCUUUAAGAAUUAAAUGCUAAUAAAAUAUGGUCACAUGAUAUGCUUAAAGUGGUAUCUCUUCCUGCAUUCAUGCUAAUAAAAUAUGGCCACAUGAUA
rnacentral:lncRNA from 1 species